UGUGUGGCAUACGGCUCAGUAACACGUAGUCAACAUGCCCAGGGGACGUGGAUAACCUCGGGAAACUGAGGAUAAACCGCGAUAGGUCACUACUUCUGGAAUGGGUAAUGACCCAAACCUAUAUGGCCCCUGGAUUGGACUGCGGCCGAUCAGGCUGUUGGUGAGGUAAUGGCCCACCAAACCUGUAACCGGUACGGGCUCUGAGAGGAGGAGCCCGGAGAUGGGCACUGAGACAAGGGCCCAGGCCCUAUGGGGCGCAGCAGGCGCGAAACCUCUGCAAUAGGCGAAAGCUUGACAGGGUUACUCUGAGUGAUUUCCGUUAAGGAGAUCUUUUGGCACCUCUAAAAAUGGUGCAGAAUAAGGGGUGGGCAAGUCUGGUGUCAGCCGCCGCGGUAAUACCAGCACCCCGAGUGGUCGGGACGUUUAUUGGGCCUAAAGCAUCCGUAGCCGGUUCUACAAGUCUUCCGUUAAAUCCACCUGCUCAACAGAUGGGCUGCGGAAGAUACUAUGGAGCUAGGAGGCGGGAGAGGCAAGCGGUACUCGAUGGGUAGGGGUAAAAUCCGUUGAUCCAUUGAAGACCACCAGUGGCGAAGGCGGCUUGCCAGAACGCGCUCGACGGUGAGGGAUGAAAGCUGGGGGAGCAAACCGGAUUAGAUACCCGGGUAGUCCCAGCUGUAAACGAUGCAGACUCGGUGAUGAAUUGGCUUUAUGCCAACUCAGUGCCGCAGGGAAGCCGUUAAGUUUGCCGUCUGGGGAGUACGGUCGCAAGACUGAAACUUAAAGGAAUUGGCGGGGGGGCACCACAAAGGGGUGAAGCCUGCGGUUCAAUUGGAGUCAACGCCGGA
rnacentral:rRNA from 1 species